UACUAGAGUGCACGACGUGUCGACUAGUGGCGUAAGGUACGCAGCGGAUAGUAAAGUCAAGCGUGAAAGGUGUCGGCUUAACCGACAGACUGCGUUUGAAACUGAUUAUCUUGAGUGUAACAGAGGAGAGUGGGAAUUCCUAGUGUAGUGGUGAAAUACGUAGAUAUUAGGAAGAACACCAGUGGCGAAGGGCGACUCUCUGGGUUAACACUGACGCUGAGGUACGAAAGCUGGGGGAGCAAACGGGAUUAGAUACCCGGGGUAGU
rnacentral:rRNA from 1 species